rnacentral:rRNA from 1 species
CACACACUGCCCGUCGCUUCAUCGAAGUUGGUUUUAGGCGAGGUGGUGCGAUAUUGGCAUUAUCGAACCUGAGAUCAGCAACGAGGGAG